AUACUUACUUGGCAGGAGAGACACCGUGAUCACAAAGGUGGUUUUCCCAGGGCAAGGCUCAUCCAUUGCACUCCGGGUGUGCUGACCCCUGUGAGUUCCCCGGAUGUGGGAAAUCUGACUGUAUAACCUGUGGUAGUGGGGGGCUGCGUUCGUGCUCUUCCCUU